rnacentral:rRNA from 1 species
UACGUAGGUGGCAAGCGUUGUCCGGAAUCAUUGGGCGUAAAAGCGCGCGCAGGCGGUCCCUUAAGUCUGAUGUGAAAGACCCACGGCUCAACCCGUGGAGGGGUCGAUUGGAAAACUAGGGGGACGGUUGUAGUGCAGAAAGAAGGAAAAGGACGGAAGUUACCUAACGUAGUAGCGGUGGAAAUAGCGUAGAGAUUUGGUAGGGAACGACCACGUGGCGGAAGGACGGGCGUUUCUUGGUCGUGUAACUAGACGCUGAGGCGGCGAAAGACGUGGGGAGGGCAAACAAGGAGUUAGUAUAUCCCUCGUA